rnacentral:rRNA from 1 species
GACGAACGCUGGCGGCGUGCUUAACACAUGCAAGUCGAACGGAAAGGCCCUGCUUUUGUGGGGUGCUCGAGUGGCGAACGGGUGAGUAACACGUGAGUAACCUGCCCUUGACUUUGGGAUAACUUCAGGAAACUGGGGCUAAUACCGGAUAGGAGCUCCUGCUGCAUGGUGGGGGUUGGAAAGUUUCGGCGGUUGGGGAUGGACUCGCGGCUUAUCAGCUUGUUGGUGGGGUAGUGGCUUACCAAGGCUUUGACGGGUAGCCGGCCUGAGAGGGUGACCGGCCACAUUGGGACUGAGAUACGGCCCAGACUCCUACGGGAGGCAGAAGUGGGGAAUAUUGCACAAUGGGCGGAAGCCUGAUGCAGCAACGCCGCGUGCGGGAUGACGGCCUUCGGGUUGUAAACCGCUUUCGCCUGUGACGAAGCGUGAGUGGCGGUAAUGGGUAAAGAAGCACCGGCUAACUACGUG